rnacentral:rRNA from 1 species
GAUGAACGCUGGCGGCGUGCCUAAUACAUGCAAGUCGAGCGAACAGACGAGGCGCUUGCUCGUCUGACGUUAGCGGCGGACGGGUGAGUAACACGUGGAUAACCUACCUAUAAGACUGGGAUAACUUCGGGAAACCGGAGCUAAUACCGGAUAAUAUAUUGAACCGCAUGGUUCAAUAGUGAAAGACGGCUUUGCUGUAACUGAUCGAUGGAUCCGCGCCGCAUUAGCUAGUUGGUAAGGUAACGGCUUACCAAGGCGACGAUGCGUAGCCGACCUGAGAGGGUGAUCGGCCACACUGGAACUGAGACACGGUCCAGACUCCUACGGGAGGCAGCAGUAGGGAAUCUUGCGCAAUGGGCGAAAGCCUGACGCAGCAACGCCGCGUGUGUGAUGAAGGUCUUCGGGUCGUAAAGCUCUGUUAUUGGGGAAGAACAGAUGUGUAAGUAACUAUGCACGUAUUGACGGUACCUAAUCAAGAAGCACCGGCUAACUACGUG